rnacentral:SRP_RNA from 1 species
AGGGCAGGAAGCAAGCAGCAGUCACCGUGUUUGG